CAGUAGCCGCGGGAAUACAGAGGGUGCGAGCGUUAAUCGGAAUUACUGGGCGUAAAGCGUGCGCAGGCGGUUAUAUAAGACAGAUGUGAAAUCCCCGGGCUCAACCUGGGAACUGCAUUUGUGACUGUAUAGCUAGAGUACGGCAGAGGGGGAUGGAAUUCCGCGUGUAGCAGUGAAAUGCGUAGAUAUGCGGAGGAACACCGAUGGCGAAGGCAAUCCCCUGGGCCUGUACUGACGCUCAUGCACGAAAGCGUGGGGAGCAAACAGGAUUAGAUACCCCAGUAGUCCCUGUCUCUUAUAC
rnacentral:rRNA from 1 species